UCCUGGUCCGAAUGUAAUGAGUUAUCUCAAUUGAUUAUUUACAGUCACAGAUCGAACUCUUUGUUAUAUUCUUUUCCCUCUUCUCACUACUGCACUUGAUUAGUCUUUA
ensembl:misc_RNA Y_RNA Y RNA